rnacentral:rRNA from 1 species
CUACUGGGGUAUCUAAUCCUGUUCGCUCCCCACGCUUUCGUACCUUAGCGUCAGUUACAGUCCAGUAAGCUGGCUUCCCUAUCGGUGUUCCUCAUGGUAUCUAUGCAUUUCACCGCUACACCAUGAAUUCCGCCUACCUCUACUGUACUCAAGAUACUCAGUAUCAAAGGCAAUUCUACGGUUGAGCCGCAGGCUUUCACCUCUGACUUAAAUAUCCGCCUACGUACCCUUUAAACCCAAUAAAUCCGGACAACGCUUGCACCCUCCGUAUUACCGCGGCUGCUGGCAC